UCUCCUGGAAAACGGGUGGUAAUGCCGGAUGCUCCGGUUGGAUGCAUGUCCUUCCGGGAAAGGUUCCAUCGGUAUGGGAUGGGGUCGCGUCCUAUCAGCUUGAUGGCGGGGUAACGGCCCACCAUGGCUUCGACGGGUAGCCGGCCUGAGAGGGCGACCGGCCACAUUGGGACUGAGAUACGGCCCAGACUCCUACGGGAGGCAGCAGUGGGGAAUAUUGCACAAUGGGCGCAAGCCUGAUGCAGCGACGCCGCGUGCGGGAUGGAGGCCUUCGGGUUGUAAACCGCUUUUGAUCGGGAGCAAGCCCUUCGGGGUGAGUGUACCUUUCGAAUAAGCACCGGCUAACUACGUGCCAGCAGCCGCGGUAAUACGUAGGGUGCAAGCGUUAUCCGGAAUUAUUGGGCGUAAAGGGCUCGUAGGCGGUUCGUCGCGUCCGGUGUGAAAGCCCAUCGCUUAACGGUGGGUCUGCGCCGGGUACGGGCGGGCUGGAGUGCGGUAGGGGAGACUGGAAUUCCCGGUGUAACGGUGGAAUGUGUAGAUAUCGGAAAAGAACACCA
rnacentral:rRNA from 1 species